UACAGAUUACGUCGGGAAGGAGACAAAGGCCGUAUCCCGGUCAUGAACUUGUCUUGGGCGGGUUAAAGUAUAGCUGUAAAUAUAAUCAUCACAUUAUAAACACGAGCUAUUGUGUUCGUAAUACGUUGUGGAAACAUGAACAAUCCAUAAAGCAAAGUAUCAGCGAUGGGCUGAUAAUGACUGCAAACUUUUCCAAAAGUCAGACCAAAUCAGAGGGUGACGGGCUGCUUAUCCAACAGUAAGGAGAGAGGAGUUUCUAAAGAAGUUCUUGUGGAGUUAAACAUGACCAAUAUACAACAGCUACUUUGGAAUCACCAGAUUUUUUCCAUCGGUGAGUCUCCUGAAAGUAAUAAUAAAAUACCCUGUCUUUUAUUAUUCACUCAAAACAUUUGUUUAAAUAUGUUAAAUUUUAUUUUUAGAUUGUAUUUCUGUUUAACUAAUUAGGUAACUUGUAGCUGUAGCAUUCAAUGUAAGACUGUUAGAACAACAGAAGGUUGUUGUAAUUUACAUAAUAGUUUUAUUGAAAUGCUUUUUACACUCAGUAAGGUGCAGUCAUUUUAAAUAUUGUUUUAAAAAUUAUAUGUACUUUAUAAACUAUAAACACUGAUCUUUAUUAAAAUGGCCCAUUAUAUAAUGGUGUAUAAUUAAAGAAGGAUUUGGUGUGAAUUUAAACAAAAUAAAUAGAAGAUGUGAUGAAGUAUAUCAGCCAGUGUUGUGUCUCAUUUGUCCAUACAUGUGUUAAUGUGAUUAUUUA